CAAUAGCGUAUAUUAACGUUGUUGCAGUUAAAAAGCUCGUAGUUGGAUUUCGGAUGGGACUUGCCGGUCCGUCGUUUCGAUGUGCACUGGCCAGUCCUAUCUUGUUGUCGGGGACUAGCUCCUGGGCUUCACUGUCCGGGACUAGGAGCUGACGAGGUUACUUUGAGUAAAUUAGAGUGUUCAAAGCAAGCCUACGCUCUGAAUACAUUAGCAUGGAAUAACACGAUAGGACUCUGGCUUAUCUUGUUGGUCUGUGAGACCAGAGUAAUGAUUAAGAGGGACAGUCGGGGGCAUUCGUAUUUCAUUGUCAGAGGUGAAAUUCUUGGAUUUAUGAAAGACGAACUUCUGCGAAAGCAUUUGUCAAGGAUGUUUUCAUUAA
rnacentral:rRNA from 1 species